GACAGAGGGUGCAAACGUUGUUCGGAAUUACUGGGCGUAAAGAGCGUGUAGGCGGCUAGGUAGGUCCGUUGUGAAAACUCGAGGCUCAACCUCCGAGACGCCGGUGGAAACCAUCUAGCUAGAGUCCGGAAGAGGACGAAUGGAAUUCCGUGGUGUAGCGGUGAAAUGCGCAGAUAUCAGGAAGAACACCCGUGGCGAAGGCGGUUCUCUGGGACGGUACUGACGCUGAGACGCGAAAGCGUGGGAGCGAACAGG
rnacentral:rRNA from 1 species